CGUGUAGGCGGCCUUUUAAGUCUGAUGUGAAAGCCCGGGGCUUACCUCCGGAAGUGCAUUGGAAACUGGGAGGCUAGAGUACCGGAGAGGAGGGUGGAAUUCCUGGUGUAGCGGUGAAAUGCGUAGAUAUCAGGAGGAACACCGGUGGCGAAGGCGGCCCUCUGGACGGAUACUGACGCUGAGACGCGAAAGCGUGGGGAGCAAACAGGAUUAGAUACCCUGGUAGUCCACGCUGUAAACGAUGGGCACUAGGUGUUCGGGGUAUUGACCCCCUGAGUGCCGCAGCUAACGCAUUAAGUGCCCCGCCUGGGGACUACGGCCGCAAGGUUAAA
rnacentral:rRNA from 1 species